rnacentral:rRNA from 1 species
UCGUUGGUGAACAGCGGAGGGAUCAUUACCGAGUUUACAACUCCCAAACCCAAUGUGAACGUUACCAAACUGUUGCCUCGGCGGGAUCUCUGCCCCGGGUGCGUCGCAGCCCCGGACCAAGGCGCCCGCCGGAGGACCAACCAAAACUCUUAUUGUAUACCCCCUCGCGGGUUUUUUACUAUCUGAGCCAUCUCGGCGCCCCUCGUGGGCGUUUCGAAAAUGAAUCAAAACUUUCAACAACGGAUCUCUUGGUUCUGGCAUCGAUGAAGAACGCAGCGAAAUGCGAUAAGUAAUGUGAAUUGCAGAAUUCAGUGAAUCAUCGAAUCUUUGAACGCACAUUGCGCCCGCCAGUAUUCUGGCGGGCAUGCCUGUCCGAGCGUCAUUUCAACCCUCGAACCCCUCCGGGGGGUCGGCGUUGGGGAUCGGCCCUUUACGGGGCCGGCCCCGAAAUACAGUGGCGGUCUCGCCGCAGCCUCUCCUGCGCAGUAGUUUGCACACUCGCAUCGGGAGCGCGGCGCGUCACAGCCGUUAAACACCCCAAACUUNGUGAAAUGUUGACCUCGGAUCAGGUAGGAAUACCGCUGAACUUAAGCAU